UUCAAGUUCUGCUUUUUUUGCUAUCUAGGUUUUUUUAGUAGAUUUGGUUUAGCUUUAGCUUAAUUGCCUGUUUGGUUUUAUUUGUAUAAUUGUUUAGGUAUGUGUUAAUGAAGAUUUUUUAUUUUAUUUUAUUCUUUAUAAGUUAUUGAGUUUAUCAAAUCUGAAAAAACACAGAGCUCAGGAAAACAAAAAGAGAAAGCUAUUUAUUCAAAAAAAUUCUCUUAGUAUUGGGUGUUUGCAUUUGGACCCACAAUAAGUAUAUUAGCCAGUCAGUUGACCAAAUGGCCAAAUCACUAACACACUAGCACUAGACUAGGUGUAGAACAUCAAUCUGUGAAUAGUGCUAUUUAGAAUCAAUUCCCGUCUUAUGAACUAGUAAAUGUCUUAUGGACUUGCAUAUUAUUGCUGUCAUGAAUUUUUAUGUUACCAAAUGUGGUCUAAAUUUGCUGAAUUUUAUGAUUAGUUACAAUUGUUUUCUUAUUAGCUUGCUAUACUUUUUGCACAAAUUCUUUUAUUUAUGGAUAUGCUUAUUUACCUAUGUUGAUUUCAAGGGAGGGUGGCACUAACAAAUUGUUACUUUCUAAUUGGAAGAGUUAAGAGUUCCAAUAUGGAAUAUAGCACAAACGCAGAAGAUUAACCUCAAGUCGAACAGUGGACCUAUCAAGGUGAAUGGUGAUGUUUCAAUUCAUCCGAGUGAAAUAGAGUUGGCACUUCAGUGCAUCAUGGCCAGAAUAUGGCUAAUCUAACUAAAUUGUUUUUUGGCUAAAGAGAUCUUAGACUCAAUUUUCUGCUAUUGGGGAAUUUUGAACUUCUGGCAUUGUUAUUGAACCUGACUCUAUAUUACACAAUUGUCAUUUUUGUUUUUUUGAAGUGAUUGACAUUAACAAGCCUUUAUUAAAAAUAUUAACUGUUGUGCAUCAU